GGCUAAGCUACAAAGGGCGCAUGGUGGAUGCCUUGGCGUCAGAGGCCGAUGAAGGGUGUGGCAAGGCUGCGAAAAGCCACGGGGAGCUGCCGUGCAAGCUUUGAUCCGUGGAUACCCGAAUGGGACAACCCGCCUGGGGUAAUGCUCAGGCACCUUCGUCUGAACGCAUAGGACGAUAGGAGGGAACCGAGGGAACUGAAACAUCUUAGUACCUCGAGGACAAGAAAUCAACCGAGAUUCUCCUAGUAGCGGCGAGCGAAAGGGGAACAGCCUAAACCCUCUGUCCUAAACGGUUUGCCGACUUAAGGGCUAGAGGGGGUUGGAAGCCAUCGAUUCGAGGCGCGGCAAUGGCCUCAGGGAGUCACAAAGCUCAUCAUCUAGCUGAAGGAUAUGGAAAUAUCUGCCACAGAGGGUAAAAGCCCCGUAAGCAAAAGGUGUGAGCCUCCCGUCGAUGAGCUUGAGUACCACGGGACACGAGGAAUCCCGUGGGAAGCUGGGGGGACCAUCCUCCAAGGCUAAAUACCAUUGACGACCGAUAGUGAACCAGUACCGUGAGGGAAAGGUGAAAAGCACCCCGGCGAGGGGAGUGAAAUAGAACCUGAAACCGUGUGCCUACAAGCGGUCGGAGUCCGCCUCAGGUGGAUGACGGCGUGCCUAUUGAAGAAUGAGCCGGCGAGUUAAUGAGUGUGGCGAGGUUAAGUGCUUAAGGCACGGAGCCGAAGCGAAAGCGAGUCUGAACAGGGCGUGCAGUCGCAUUCAUUAGACCCGAAACCGGGUGAGCUACCCAUGGCCAGGGUGAAGUCUCGUUAAACCGAGAUGGAGGCCCGAACCCGUCAGUGUUGCAAAACUGUGGGAUGAGCUGUGGGUAGGGGUGAAAUGCCAAGCGAACUCGGAGAUAGCUGGUUCUCCCCGAAAUGCAUUUAGGUGCAGCCUUGAGCGAUCAGUCUCGCAGGUAGGGCUCUGGAUGGACUAGGGAGUAACAAACUUACCGAACCCAACUAAACUACGAAUGGCGAGAACUUUAUAGCUCGGGAGUGAGACGGCGGGGGAUAAGCUUCGUCGUCGAGAGGGAAACAGCCCAGACUGUCAGCUAAGGCCCCUAAAUCCAGGCUAAGUGUGAAAGGAUGUGGGACAGCUCAGACAACCAGGAUGUUGGCUUAGAGGCAGCCACCAUUUAAAGAGUGCGUAACAGCUCACUGGUCGAGUUGUCCUGCGCCGACAAUGUACCGGGGCUCAAGCCUGGUGCCGAAGCUGCAGAAAGAGCCGUCAGUUCUCAGCAAUCAGCCGUCCUCCCUUUGGAAGGAUGACUGAACGCUGAAAACUGAUCGCUGUUUGGUAGGGGAGCGUUCCGCGCGGCGGAGAAGGUGGACUGGAAGGUCUGCUGGAGCGCGCGGAAGUGAGAAUGCCGGCAUGAGUAGCGUUAACCACGAUAAGAACUCGUGGCACCGUAAGCCCAAGGAUUCCUACGCAACGUCAGUCGGCGUAGGGUUAGUCGGGCCUAAGCCGAGGCCAUAACAGGCGUAGGCGAUGGACAACGGGUCAAUAUUCCCGUACCGACACUUGUUCGUUACGAGCGAAGGGGGGACGCAGGAAGGUAGGCUCAGCGCGGCGCUGGAGAUGCCGCGUCGAAGCUGGUAGAGAGUCGCCAUAGGCAAAUCCAUGGCGGCAGUGAUCGAGAGGCGAUAGGGAGCCUGCGGAGUAUUCCAAAGGCAACUGAGCCGAGCCUAAGCUGCCAAGAAAAGCCUCUAGCCAGAGCAAGUGUCGCCCGUACCGCAAACCGACACAGGUGGGCGCUCCGAAAUCGGAGAAGGUGGACGAGAGAACCCUCGUUAAGGAACUCGGCAAAUUAACCCCGUAACUUAGGGAGAAGGGGUGCCCCUGGGGGUGAAGGGUGAACACCUGGAGCCUUUGGGGGUCGCAGAUAACAGGCCCAAGCGACUGUCUAACAAAAACACAGGUCUCUGCAUAAGCUGAAAGGCGAAGUAUAGGGGCUGACGCCUGCCCAGUGCCGGAAGGUUAAGGGGAGGGCUGAGAGGUCCGAACCGAAGCCCCGGUGAACGGCGGCCGUAACUAUAACGGUCCUAAGGUAGCGAAAUUCCUUGUCGGGUAAGUUCCGACCCGCACGAAUGGCGUAACGACUUGGGCGCUGUCUCAACGAGGGACUCGGCGAAAUUGAAGUAUCCGUGAAGAUGCGGAUUACCCACGACAGGACAAAAAGACCCCGUGGAGCUUUACUGUAGCCUGGCAUUGAGCUGAGGCUGCGGAUGCGUAGGAUAGGUGGGAGGCUGGGAAGUCGAAUCUUCGGGUUCGACGGAGCCAUCAGUGAAAUACCACUCUUCCCUGGUUUCGGCCCUAACUCCAGACCGUGAAACCGGCUGGUGGACAGCGCCUGGUGGGCAGUUUGACUGGGGCGGUCGCCUCCUAAAAGGUAACGGAGGCGCCCAAAGGUUCCCUCAGGGUGGAUGGAAAUCACCCGUGGAGUGUAUUGGCAUAAGGGAGCUUGACUGCGAGAAAUACGAUUCGAGCAGGGACGAAAGUCGGGCAAAGUGAUCCCACGGUACCGAAUGGAAGGGCCGUGGCUUAACGGAUAAAAGUUACCCCGGGGAUAACAGGCUUAUCUUGCCCAAGAGUUCACAUCGACGGCAAGGUUUGGCACCUCGAUGUCGGCUCGUCGCAUCCUGGGGCUGGAGUAGGUCCCAAGGGUUGGGCUGUUCGCCCAUUAAAGCGGUACGCGAGCUGGGUUCAGAACGUCGUGAGACAGUUCGGUCUCUAUCCGUCGUGGGCGCAGGAAGUUUGAGGGGAGCUGUCCCUAGUACGAGAGGACCGGGAUGGACAGACCUCUGGUGAGCGGGUUGUACUGCCAAGUGCACUGCCUGGUAGCCAAGUUUGGAAGGGAUAAGCGCUGAAAGCAUCUAAGUGCGAAGCCCACCCCAAGAUGAGACUUCCCACCCUGUAAGAGGGGGUAAGGCCGCAGAUAGAAGAUCUGCUUGAUAGGCUGCGAGUGUAAGCACGGUAACGUGUUGAGCUGAGCAGUACUAAUGGCCGAGGGCUUGUCCGU
rnacentral:rRNA from 1 species